AGUGAACGCUGGCGGUAGGCCUAACACAUGCAAGUCGAACGGCAGCACAGUAAGAGCUUGCUCUUACGGGUGGCGAGUGGCGGACGGGUGAGGAAUACAUCGGAAUCUACUUUUUCGUGGGGGAUAACGUAGGGAAACUUACGCUAAUACCGCAUACGACCUACGGGUGAAAUCAGGGGAUCUUCGGACCUUGCGCGAUUGAAUGAGCCGAUGUCGGGUUAGCUAGUUGGCGGGGUAAAGGCCCACCAAGGCGACGAUCCGUAGCUGGUCUGAGAGGAUGAUCAGCCACACUGGAACUGAGACACGGUCCAGACUCCUACGGGAGGCAGCAGUGGGGAAUAUUGGACAAUGGGCGCAAGCCUGAUCCAGCCAUACCGCGUGAGUGAAGAAGGCCUUCGGGUUGUAAAGCCCUUUUGUUGGGAAAGAAAAGCAGCAGGUUAAUACCCCGCUGUUCUGACGGUACCCAAAGAAUAAGCACCGGCUAACUUCGUG
rnacentral:rRNA from 1 species